UUACAACACACGCCAGAGGAGUAAAAGCCAUUAAUGACGAAAAUUCAGCUAUGUCGACUCAACGCUUGGCUUAACCUUGUUAAGUAUACCCUGGAGACGAUAUUGACAGACAUAGAAGUCGAGAAAACGGGAAUUGCCGAGAUAUAGCCCGGUAGAAUUGAGACUUAAUCUCAGGCUUGAAAGUCGUUCCCCACGUUCAUACAUCGGUCUUUCCAACCAGGGAUUUUAAAGCUCGAAGUUUUGUUGUGUGGCGUGCGUUGAUGCAAGGGACAUACAUCCACCCGUAAGUCGUAAGCUGCGAUUGUGCGGCAAGAAGAAGACCAACACAUGGACAGCAACAAGCCGAAUGGAGGGAAAAGAAGUCCCAGGACGACGGCUUGGGUUGAAGUCAUAUAAAAGGCUUCGAGGAGCUGAUUUGUUCAUAAUACCCCGGUAAAGCUUCAAAGUCGUGGUCGUAUCUUCAGCAUAAAUUGGCUCGCCCCAAAGUGAAGUCUUUUGCAAAGAAAAAUCCUGUUAGAAAUUUUAUUAGUUCAUUUUUGUGUUUGGUGUACUUAUACAAAGUGCAAGUAAAAGUAAUUGCGUGGCACUAGACAAAUUAAGAAAUAGUUGGUUUUGUUUGGUUGUCGUUUGUGUCUGUGCAGGUGACAUCCACUCAUCCAGCGGUUAUUAUCAACCUCCCAGGAGGAUUAAGGAACCCUUCCGAAAAUCCAGGGUUUGGCCAAGAGCUGUAAAAGAGAGGAUACCGUCAGCAAAUAAAUUUUUUGAAAUCAACAUUAAAUCCUGGGAUACCAGAAAUAUUUCCCGGGUAUUCAUGUCAAGUAGCUGUGUUUCGAGGUAGUACCUGUCUUGUGUUUGUGUCUGUCUUACUUGGGAAUGAAAUUGGUUUUGUGUGUAAAGCCCAAGAAUCCUGCAAAGAAAAAAAA
rnacentral:sRNA from 1 species